GUCUCAUGAAGUCACAGGGACACCGGUCCAAAUUCCAGCGUUCCCACUCCUCCCCGGGCUCUUAUUCACCAGAUGGUGAUGGUAACGAGGGUGUCUCCUCCUCUUCGUGUGUCUGAUCACAAAUGACUAGGGCGCUUUGGUGCCCAAAUGAGUUCCAGAUGGGUCUGCCUGGGCUGGUAGCCUGGGCGCUGGGACCAGCCGGCUCUCAGCACGUCCUCAGUCCGUCUGUCCGGAGGCUCCUACCCCAACCCGAACAUUCCUGCCUUCGGAGCCUCAGUGGUCCAGCCUGUGAAAUGAGGAUGCUGCCCCAGGUCACUCUCUCUCUGGGGAUAUAGACCAAAAUUCUUUUUGGGAUGCAGAAGAUGGGAGUUCUGGCUUCUGUAAUUGCUUCUCUACGGGACAUGGAUGUAGACAGGUGGGGACCAGAAGCUUGAACCUGGGUCCUUGUGCACUGUAGUGUGUGCGCUCAACCAGGUACAUCUGGACUCAAUACUGUGACCGCUCUAUCUGAAUCUCAGAAACUCAAGUUGAUCUUUAGCUCAAACUAACAUUUCAAAGCCCGUGGAAGAGCAAACGAAGCACCUGAGAGACCCAGAAGACAUGCUCCAGCCCUGAGGGUAGCUAGAACGAAGCUGAUAGUGCCGUCCUGGGCCCAGGCCUUCCCCCCUCUCUGCUCCUGUGGGCCUCCUCCAGCCUCUGUGUUCCUGUCUAUACAAUGGGCACCACUGGCCAUUCUUCACUUCACAGAUUUGUCAAAAGGGACUCUACAAGGAUAAUGCCCACCUUAGAGAACAUUUCACUGGCUCACUUCCUGCUGUCCUUCAGGCUUCAGCUCUGCUGUCAUCACAUGAGAGAUGUCCACGUUGAACACCACCACCACCAUCACCACCACCACCACCACCACCACCAUCACCACCACCACCACCUCUCAGGCCAGUUGACGUCAUGCUGCCGCCAUGUUGAUUUCUCCGUGACCUCUGCAUGACCUCACGCAGUGGCUUGUUCCUGUCUUCCCAAGUUGAGCAAGACCCUCCCUGAUCUUUGUUCUCACUGGGAUUAUGGGCACUUAGACCACAGAGGUUGGACAUACAGUUGGCACUCAAUGAUCAGAGCACGGACUGUUGUGAGAAUUCUCAGAAGCUCCCCCCACACCACACCCCAACCCCAACAAUCCAGGGCACAGAGAGGGAGGUGGGGGGGGGGCAGGGGGAACUGAGGUCAGCUUGGGAGUUUGUUUGCAAUGUCUGAUGAGUCAGCCCCUGCAGGCCCAGCCAUUGCCCUCUCCCCCAGUGAACUGUCACUGCCCUAGAAGCCACCAGGGUGAUGGCGAUAAGCCUUUUAGAGCACAGAUACAAUCUCACCCCGGAAGUGGGCUGAGCAACUCUCCAAGAGCCUGAGAAAGAUGGGGAGCACCCCCCUCUCCAACCAGCCCCCCACAUUGGGGAUGGCCAGACAUUAUUGUAUGAGAGGGGUUUAGACCUGAAAUCCGUCACCCCUCCUCCCAGGGUCCGCCUAGCAGAGCUGGCUAACGCCGUGACCAUCCAUUCCAGUUUGUCUUGCUUUCUUGUCAGCGUCUCUGCGAGGAGACAGGUCUCCAGCCUGUCACUGAGCCGGCUUCCAAAAAGCAUGCUGGGCCCAGCUUGUCACCCCGGGAACCUGGACUCAGGGGACCUUGGGAACAAGAGCCGAGACAAGCAGCCUCUCCCCACUUGGUAGGGAGUAGUAGGGAGCCACUUCCUUUAAUAACAGAUGCCCAGAGCUGAGCGGUGGUGCAUCUGGUACAGAGCACAUGUUGCCAUGCUGAAGGACCCAGGUUCAAGUCCCUGGCCCCAACCCGCAGGGGGGAAGCUUCAUGAUCGGUGGAGGAGGUCUGCAGGUGUCUCUCUCUCUCCCCCCCUUAAUCUUCUCUCUCAAUUUCUCUUUCUCUAUGCAGAAUAAAUAAUAAUGAAAAAGAAAACAUUGAAAAAAAAAAAGCAGAUUUUCCCCACCCCCUCUAUUCAUUUCCUCACUUCAGCCUCAAAGAAAAACAACCAGACACCCUGAGUGCAAGCAUGGGACAGGAGGGACCUGGCUGGGCAGUCCUUGCCCCAUGGUGAGACUCAGCCCACAGGACCACCCUCAGGACUCAGGGAUGGCGCCCCGGCCGGCUUCCUAGCUCCCCUUCUUCCAGCUGGUCCCCAAACUGGUCUGGUGCCUGCUCUGUGAUCAACCUGCGGACACACUCUUUGGCCCCCUGUCCCCAGUGUCUGUAGUCUGGUCCCCUGUCCUCGUGUCUGUAGUUUGGUCCCCUGUCCCCCAUGCCUGUAGCCACAUCUCACACCACACAGGGCUGCCACUUCCUGCCUAGAGAGCUCUGUUCCUUGCUAAUGUUCCUUUAUCUUCCCCUCCCCUCUCAGUUUCUCUGUUUCCUAGCAAAUAAUAAUUUAAAAAAAUUAGAAAAGGAAAAACAUGACUGGGAAUGGCAGAUCAGAUCCAUAGUGUGGGCGGGCACUGAGCGAUA